GCGCUCGCUUUGGCUGCACAUAUACUGCUACUGGAACAAGGCAGAGAAGGUGAGCAUGGCUCUUGUGCAAGGAUAAUAUGCAAAUUCACGAAGCGUCCCAUAUUUGA